ensembl:lncRNA
CUGAACCUGUCGGGGUUUAAAGCAGGACCUGGAGACCAAAAAGCUGCAUCCUUCAUAAAGGCUUUCAAAGACUUCCCAAAGGAAAAGAAUUAGGCAUCAGGGCUAUAAAUCAUGGCUGCCUCAUUUUUCUUUGGUAAUUGCUGAUCGGAACAAAAGCUUUGCGUGUCUUCAAACUGUUUGCAAAGGAAAUAAUGACGGCGGAGGAAGGAAGGACUUCACGGCAAAUCAUGACAAAUCACGCCCAAGGUUCAUCCCCCACAGUUCAUGACCUGGAGAUCCCGGGCUUCACCUGGAGCGGGAGAGAAAGCCUAGAGGCUCGGAUGAAAGAAGAAGUCUUCGAAGGAGUUCAGGUUACACAGCGUUAUUAUGACAAGAAGCUACUGUUUCUCCCCCUCCGCUCCUUCCCCUUUUGUCUUGCUUUUUGACACCUUCUUUGAGCGCGAGAGGGACCGGAUAUGUUUCAUCACAAUGGCCGCCGCGCUGAAAGCGCAUAUUAUCUUUAUUCGGAAUCUUGCGUCGUGUUACUGUACGGUCCUUGGGUCCCGGCGAUGGUUGCGAGGCACCCCCCCCCCCCACCACCACCACCACCACCUCCCAUCAUGCCACCCUCCCCUGGUUCGCAGUGACACCCUGCUCACUCUCUCACUUUCUCAUCGUUUCCGCAAUGAUUAAGCGAACAAUGUCCCACGUCAUUGUUCGUUUGGGCCCUCUGUCAUUCUGCAGCUUUAUCUCCUUUGAUACUUCUGGCAGCACACAAAGACACCAUAGUGGGCCGCCUCGUCGUCCGCUAAACUUCAAUGGCUUUUGUGGCGGCUGGUGUGUUUUGUGCACGUCCGUCAGCUCCCGGCCUCGCCCUGAAGAAGCCCUCAGUCACCACGUCCGGAUGCUCUGAAAGAUG